UACGUAGGGACCGAGCGUUGUCCGGAAUCAUUGGGCGUAAAGAGCGUGUAGGCGGCCUUUUAAGUCCUGCGUGAAAUCCUGCGGCUCAACCGCAGACGGUCGUGGGAAACUGGAAGGCUAGAGUGCGGGAGAGGAGAGUGGAAUUCCUGGUGUAGCGGUGAAAUGCGCAGAUAUCAGGAAGAACACCAAUGGCGAAAGCAGCUCUCUGGGACGGUACUGACGCUGAGACGCGAAAGCGUGGGGAGCGAACAGG
rnacentral:rRNA from 1 species